AUUGAACGCUGGCGGCAGGCCUAACACAUGCAAGUCGAGCGGAUGAGGGGAGCUUGCUCCUGGAUUCAGCGGCGGACGGGUGAGUAAUGCCUAGGAAUCUGCCUGGUAGUGGGGGAUAACGUCCGGAAACGGGCGCUAAUACCGCAUACGUCCUGAGGGAGAAAGUGGGGGAUCUUCGGACCUCACGCUAUCAGAUGAGCCUAGGUCGGAUUAGCUAGUUGGUGGGGUAAAGGCCUACCAAGGCGACGAUCCGUAACUGGUCUGAGAGGAUGAUCAGUCACACUGGAGCUGAGACACGGUCCAGACUCCUACGGGAGGCAGCAGUGGGGAAUAUUGGACAAUGGGCGAAAGCCUGAUCCAGCCAUGCCGCGUGUGUGAAGAAGGUCUUCGGAUUGUAAAGCACUUUAAGUUGGGAGGAAGGGCAGUAAGUUAAUACCUUGCUGUUUUGACGUUACCAACAGAAUAAGCACCGGCUAACUUCGUG
rnacentral:rRNA from 1 species